GUCGAUCCUAAGAGAUGGGGAAGCUCCGUUUCAAAGACUUGAUUUUUCAAGUCACCAUCGAAAGGGAAGCCGGUUAAAAUUCCGGCACUUGGAUAUGGAUUCUUCACGGUAACGUAACUGAAUGUGGAGACGUCGGCGUGGGCUCUGGGAGGAGUUCUCUUUUCUUCUUAACAGCUUAUCACCCUGGAAUUGGUUUAUCCGGAGAUAGGGUCUUAUGGCUGGAAGAGCGCAGUACUUUUGCUGCGUCCGGUGCGCCUACGACGGUCCUUGAAAAUC
rnacentral:rRNA from 15 species